rnacentral:rRNA from 1 species
GACGAACGCUGGCGGCGUGCUUAACACAUGCAAGUCGAACGGAAAGGCCCUGCUUUUGUGGGGUGCUCGAGUGGCGAACGGGUGAGUAACACGUGAGUAACCUGCCCUUGACUUUGGGAUAACUUCAGGAAACUGGGGCUAAUACCGGAUAGGAGCUCCUGCUGCAUGGUGGGGGUUGGAAAGUUUCGGCGGUUGGGGAUGGACUCGCGGCUUAUCAGCUUGUUGGUGGGGUAGUGGCUUACCAAGGCUUUGACGGGUAGCCGGCCUGAGAGGGUGACCGGCCACAUUGGGACUGGGAUACGGCCCAGACGCCUACGGGAGGCAGGAGUGGGGAAUAGUGCACAAUGGGCGGAAGCCGGAUGCAGCAACGCCGCGUGCGGGAUGACGGCCUUCGGGUUGUAAACCGCUUUCGCCUGUGACGAAGCGUGAGGGACGGUAAUGGGUAAAGAAGCACCGGCUAACUACGG